AUGAGUUGGGAAAAGUCUUCAUCGAAUAUCUCAAAAAUUCAAGUGUUGACUUCAAAAAAAAAGUUCACUAGGUCCAAGUCGGUCAUGAAUCGAGCUAGAUUGAUCCAUUCGUUGAAUUCUUGACUAACAAAAUCUUGCUAGCUAAUCCUACUGAGGCAUGCCAAAUGAAGAGAUUGAUGGCUCGGUACGUGAUCAUCGAUAAUCGAUUUUAUCGAAGAUCGACAUUUU
rnacentral:lncRNA from 1 species